rnacentral:rRNA from 1 species
AACACGUGGAUAACCUACCUAUAAGACUGGGAUAACUUCGGGAAACCGGAGCUAAUACCGGAUAAUAUUUUGAACCGCAUGGUUCAAAAGUAAAAGACGGUCUUGCUGUCACUUAUAGAUGGAUCCGCGCUGCAUUAGCUAGUUGGUAAGGUAACGGCUUACCAAGGCAACGAUGCAUAGCCGACCUGAGAGGGUGAUCGGCCACACUGG